UGGGGAAUAUUGCACAAUGGGCGCAAGCCUGAUGCAGCAACGCCGCGUGAGGGACGACGGCCUUCGGGUUGUAAACCUCUUUUAGUAGGGAAGAAGCGAAAGUGACGGUACCUGCAGAAAAAGCACCGGCUAACUACGUGCCAGCAGCCGCGGUAAUACGUAGGGUGCGAGCGUUGUCCGGAAUUAUUGGGCGUAAAGAGCUCGUAGGCGGUCUGUCGCGUCUGCUGUGAAAACCCGAGGCUCAACCUCGGGCCUGCAGUGGGUACGGGCAGACUAGAGUGCGGUAGGGGAGAAUGGAAUUCCUGGUGUAGCGGUGGAAUGCGCAGAUAUCAGGAGGAACACCGAUGGCGAAGGCAGUUCUCUGGGCCGUAACUGACGCUGAGGAGCGAAAGCGUGGGGAGCGAACAGGAUUAGAUACCCUGGUAGUCCACGCCGUAAACGUUGGGCGCUAGAUGUGAGGACCAUUCCACGGUUUCCGUGUCGCAGCUAACGCAUUAAGCGCCCCGCCUGGGGGAGUACGGCCGCAAGGCUAAAA
rnacentral:rRNA from 1 species